GAUGAACGCUGGCGGCGUGCCUAAUACAUGCAAGUCGAGCGAACAGACGAGGAGCUUGCUCCUCUGACGUUAGCGGCGGACGGGUGAGUAACACGUGGAUAACCUACCUAUAAGACUGGGAUAACUUCGGGAAACCGGAGCUAAUACCGGAUAAUAUAUUGAACCGCAUGGUUCAAUAGUGAAAGACGGUUUUGCUGUCACUUAUAGAUGGAUCCGCGCCGCAUUAGCUAGUUGGUAAGGUAACGGGUUACCAAGGCAACGAUGCGUAGACGACCUGAGAGGGUGGUCGGCCACACUGGAACUGAGACACGGUCCAGACUCCUACGGGAGGCAGCAGUAGGGAACCGUCCGCAAUGGGCGAAAGCCUGACGGAGCAACGCCGCGUGAGUGAUGAAGGUCUUCGGAGCGUAAAACUCUGUUAUUAGGGAAGAACAAAUGUGUAAGUAACUAUGCACGGCUUGACGGUACCUAAUCAGAAAGCCACGGCUAACUACGUG
rnacentral:rRNA from 1 species